rnacentral:lncRNA from 1 species
GUCUGCUCGGGCAACUUGAACAAAAGGAGAAACUCGGAUUAACUCUCCAUCUCUCCCUCGCCUCUCCCGGGUUAUCUCAUCUUCGGCAACUUUAUCCGGAGAGAUUUACUCAACUUUCUCCGAGCUCUCCCGCCGCUUAAAAGUAAAGAGCCCCGCCGUAGGCUUCGAAGGAAAUCUGGUUUCACAGUUUAGAGAAAGGAGAAGGUCAAAACAUGGUUGUCGGGAAAAUGGGAUGGUUGCCAGAACAUCAGUCUGUGAUGGGUGCCAUACUGCAUUACUCUUUGAAUGGUGGAAUACAUCUUGGGAUUCUUCAGGGGUGCUUAACGUGGUACAAAACCGUACAGCUGCUUAGCAUCUUAAAUGUUUGCAUUCGUACAUAAUUGUUAAUGGUCUCCUGGGGGAAGUGGAAGAGUCUCUCGAAGCUGAAACUUGUGGAUAUUGUAGAAAAUGCUGCUGAGACCAGUUGGAUUAUAUCAGAACCUGACAUCAGAGUUCUGCAGCUGAUGAAAGAUGCUGUGUCUGCUCCAGGUGUAAACCGAACCACCAGAAGCGUGCAAAACCAAAGCUUUCUGAGCCCCGGUGUAGUUAUUCUGGACAAGUUUCCAGCACGUGUGGAGAACACUACACCGUACACACAUCAGGACUAUAAAAAAAACAGUCGCUUUAGUCACAGAGAAGCAUGA